AAAGCAGGCUUGUGGAGGAGGACUUGAGGAAGAACCCAACCAGGCUGGAACUCUAGGCUAGAAAUCCUAGGAUGCAUAGCAAAAACUCUUUGGGUAAAACUCCAAGGCUGUAUACAUGGUCCAUGAUGGAACUGGCAUAUGGAGAAUUCUGAGAAGAGAAUGGGAAGGAGGCAGAGUUCCAUCUGAGGAAGAGGAUCCUGUUUGUUGAAGAAAUUUUGUUCCUCUCCAGCACCUGCACUAAGGGGGACUGUGAGAACCAAUGACCUCAGAAAUGUUAUUGAAAUUAAGGACUAUAUUCAGCUGAAUGAGAGAUGAGCAGGAGGAAUUUGGAGAAACCUGGAAGGAUUUGCAUGAACUGAUG